CCCACCUUUAAUAAAGAAGGGAAAUUGGUGCCUGUGAGACACUAUACACCUUUUAAACCUGAUGAUUUAGAAAAAUUCAAGCACAAUGUUCAAUCAUUUGAGGCAGAACCAAUGUUGGUUAUAGAAAAAUUAGAAAAUAUAUUCAGAAACUUUGACCCUUCUUGGUUGGAUGUGGAGAAUUUGUUAGAUACAUUUCUGACAAAGAGAGAGAAAAAUAAUGUCAUCUCUCUAGCUAAUAAGAAAAGUGGUAGAGGAGCUCAUCACUGGCCAACUGUAGAUCCACACUGGAACCCUAAUAUUGUACAGGAUCACACAAAACUAGCCCUGGCCAGAGAAGCAUUAUUAAAAGCCAUGAGAGACUGCUCUGAUAGCCCUGAUGCAUGGGAAAAAUUUGAACAAUCCCGGCAGGAAAUUAAUGAGACCCCCUCCCACUUUAUGGACAGACUUAUUGACGUAGGAAGUACAUAUAUGGACCUUGAUUUGUCCAGAGAAAAAGACAUUAAACAUAUACGCAGACAAUUCGUUAGGAAUUGUUGUUCAGCAGUAAAAGACUACUUUGAAACCAACUGUCCCAACUGGGAGUCUAUGGACCUCGAAGAACUGAGGAAAGUAGCAACAUAUGCCUAUAAGAAUCGUACAAAAAAACCUGAGACACACAAUAAAUCAGUAUCAGACUUAGAAAAAGAAAUUGAAAUUUUAAAGGAACAAUUGAAAAGUAAGGGAGAGACCAUGGCCCCUUUGCAGGAAUCCACAGAUAGAUCAUUAACAAACCCCUUAAUAUGCCUCUUCUGUGGGAAGAGAGGCCAUGCAAUGAUAGUCUGUAGGAGCAGACUACGGGAAACAAGAAAUAAUAACACCUUUAGGAAUAAUAAAUAUAGGAACCACAAUGCCAAUCAAAAUGACGAUGCUCAAAAUACAGAAAAUGAUACUACCAAAAGAAAUGCCCAACAACAAUAUAUAAGAAAUGGAGCUCGACCACGCUACACUCAGGGUGAACAACCCCAACAGCGUGGAGGGUCCCAAAAAACUGCCCAAGCAUCUUUAUGAAGGUGUGAAGGGGGGGUGAGGGCCCUGGAAUCAAAGAAUGAGACCUUUGAUUUUCCAGACCCUGAUAUUUUAAUGCCAGUAAUCCCUAUAUAUUCCCCCCCGAACAGUAAGGAACCUCAUGUCACUUUAAGGGUAGGAAAUUCAUACUAUGACUGUCUUUUAGACACUGGAGCAUCUAGGUCAGUUCUAGUAAGCAAACCAGAUGAGAAAUGUGAUUCUAUUGGCUCU
ensembl:lncRNA